rnacentral:rRNA from 1 species
AGUGAACGCUGGCGGUAGGCCUAACACAUGCAAGUCGAACGGCAGCACAGUAAGAGCUUGCUCUUACGGGUGGCGAGUGGCGGACGGGGGAGGAAUACAUCGGAAUCUACUUUUUCGUGGGGGAUAACGUAGGGAAACUUACGCUAAUACCGCAUACGACCUACGGGUGAAAGCAGGGGAUCUUCGGACCUUGCGCGAUUGAAUGAGCCGAUGUCGGAUUAGCUAGUUGGCGGGGUAAAGGCCCACCAAGGCGACGAUCCGUAGCUGGUCUGAGAGGAGGAUCAGCCACACUGGAACUGAGACACGGUCCAGACUCCUACGGGAGGCAGCAGUGGGGAAUAUUGGACAAUGGGCGCAAGUCUGAUCCAGCCAUACCGCGUGGGUGAAGAAGGCCUUCGGGUUGUAAAGCCCUUUUGUUGGGAAAGAAAAGCAGCAGGUUAAUACCCCGCUGUUCUGACGGUACCCAAAGAAUAAGCACCGGCUAACUUCGUG